CCUACGGGUGGCAGCAGUGGGGAAUAUUGCACAAUGGGGGAAACCCUGAUGCAGCGACGCCGCGUGAGUGAAGAAGUAAUUCGUUACGUAAAGCUCUAUCAGCAGGGAAGAAACACUGACCUUACGGUCAGCAGACGGUACCUGAGUAAGAAGCCCAGGCUAACUACGUGCCAGCAGCCGCGGUAAUACGUAGGGGGCAAGCGUUAUCCGGAUUUACUGGGUGUAAAGGGGGCGUAGACGGUGCGCUAAGUCAGGCGUGAAAUGCCGCAGCUUAACUGCGGAACUGCUGUGGAAACUGGCGAACUAGAGUGCGGGAGAGGUAAGCGGAAUUCCUGGUGUAGCGGUGAAAUGCGUAGAUAUUAGGAGGAACACCGGUGGCGAAGGCAGCUUACUGGACCGUAACUGACGUUGAGGCUCGAAAGCGUGGGGAGCAAACAGGAUUAGAUACCCUUGUAGUC
rnacentral:rRNA from 1 species